rnacentral:rRNA from 1 species
GACGAACGCUGGCGGCGUGCCUAAUACAUGCAAGUCGAGCGCAGGAAGUCAUCCGAACCCUUCGGGGGGACGUUGACGGAAUGAGCGGCGGACGGGUGAGUAACACGUAAAGAACCUACCCUCAGGUCUGGGAUAACCACGAGAAAUCGGGGCUAAUACCGGAUGGGUCAUCGGACCGCAUGGUCCGAGGAUGAAAGGCGCUUCGGCGUCGCCUGGGGAUGGCUUUGCGGUGCAUUAGCUAGUUGGUGGGGUAACGGCCCACCAAGGCGACGAUGCAUAGCCGACCUGAGAGGGUGAUCGGCCACACUGGGACUGAGACACGGCCCAGACUCCUACGGGAGGCAGCAGUAGGGAAUCUUCCACAAUGGACGAAAGUCUGAUGGAGCAACGCCGCGUGAACGAUGAAGGCCU